GAUGAACGCUAGCGGCAGGCCUGACACAUGCAAGUCGAGGGAGAGGUUAUCUUCGGGUAACCAAAACCGGCGCACGGGUGCGUAACGCGUAUACAAUCUGCCUUUCACAUAGGGAUAGCCCGAAGAAAUUUGGAUUAAUACCUAAUGGUAUAUAAGAACGGCAUCGUUUUUAUAUUAAAGCUACGGUGGUGAAAGAUGAGUAUGCGUUCUAUUAGCUAGUUGGAGAGGUAACGGCUCCCCAAGGCGACGAUAGAUAGGGGUUCUGAGAGGGAUGUCCCCCACACUGGUACUGAGAUACGGACCAGACUCCUACGGGAGGCAGCAGUGAGGAAUAUUGGACAAUGGUCGGAAGACUGAUCCAGCCAUGCCGCGUGCAGGAUGAAGGUCCUAUGGAUUGUAAACUGCUUUUGUAAGGGAAGAAUAAGGAGUACGUGUACUUUGAUGACGGUACCUUACGAAUAAGCAUCGGCUAACUCCGUGCCAGCAGCCGCGGUAAUACGGAGGAUGCGAGCGUUAUCCGGAAUCAUUGGGUUUAAAGGGUCCGUAGGCGGGCUGAUAAGUCAGAGGUGAAAGCGCUUAGCUCAACUAAGCAACUGCCUUUGAAACUGUCAGUCUUGAAUGAUUGUGAAGUAGUUGGAAUGUGUAGUGUAGCGGUGAAAUGCUUAGAUAUUACACAGAACACCGAUAGCGAAGGCAUAUUACUAACAAUUUAUUGACGCUGAUGGACGAAAGCGUGGGGAGCGAACAGG
rnacentral:rRNA from 1 species